AUAGGGGAGCCGUAGGGAAACCGAGUCUUAACCGGGCGUUAAGUUGCAGGGUAUAGACCCGAAACCCGGUGAUCUAGCCAUGGGCAGGUUGAAGGUUGGGUAACACUAACUGGAGGACCGAACCGACUAAUGUUGAAAAAUUAGCGGAUGACCUGUGGCUGGGGGUGAAAGGCCAAUCAAACCGGGAGAUAGCUGGUUCUCCCCGAAAGCUAUUUAGGUAGCGCCUCGUGAAUUCAUCUCCGGGGGUAGAGCACUGUUUCGGCUAGGGGGCCAUCCCGGCUUACCAACCCGAUGCAAACUGCGAAUACCGGAGAAUGUUAUCACGGGAGACACACGGCGGGUGCUAACGUCCGUCGUGAAGAGGGAAACAACCCAGACCGCCAGCUAAGGUCCCAAAGUCAUGGUUAAGUGGGAAACGAUGUGGGAAGGCCCAGACAGCCAGGAUGUUGGCUUAGAAGCAGCCAUCAUUUAAAGAAAGCGUAAUAGCUCACUGGUCGAGUCGGCCUGCGCGGAAGAUGUAACGGGGCUAAACCAUGCACCGAAGCUGCGGCAGCGAACGUAUCACCCAAGACAACUUUGCGGAGUUGACGAUUGACGGAGCGAAGCGACGUCAAAGCGUUCAUUAAAGUCGAGUUGGCUUA
rnacentral:rRNA from 1 species